AGCCUAAACCCAUAGAUAACCUAUGGGCAUGGCAAACAAGACCCUUGGAAGAUACUGAACCUCACGUUCAGCAACUCUUCCAUGGGCUGUACUUCGAAAGGAGUAUAGGGUCGUAAGACCU
rnacentral:sRNA from 12 species